UCGCCCCUACUGCUGCUACUCCACUUCCUCAAAUCUUGCUGCUGCCUCUCUAAAUCCUGCUUGCUGCCGCUCUCUACUGCUUCUACUACAUCUCCUUGCACUCCUGCUUCUUCUUGUUUUCUGAAUCCCCAAACGCUGAUGCUACUCCCUCGCCCCGCGAACCUAUUGCUGCACCUUCUCCUUAACUCUCUCUGAACCCCCCUACUCCUCUUCACCUACAACUCUCCCUCAUUCUCUAAUUUCUGUAAUUUUGAGUAGGGUAAUGAUCAAUACUAUGUAGUGUUCAAUUUUGUUAAGUGUAGUAUCCUACUGUUUGGUUCAGUUUCGAAGUUGUAUUAUAUAAUGUUUGAUUUGUAUGUCCUCACUAGUUGAUACCUUGUCACUUUGAGAAGUACUUCAUCUGUCAUACUUUGCUUAGUGAAAUAAUAAUCUGCAUAUGUAUGUGUUGUCCUGUGAUGUAUAAAUAUGUGUGUGCUUGUGAUGGGAAAAAUCUAGCCUCUGUCAUAUUAUCUUGUUUCUUCUCUCUGUACUUGUUUUGUCAUGUGACUUUCCUUUCGUGUAAGUUUCUAUUGUCUCUAUUAGUAUGAAAAUACCAAAAAGACAGUAAGUAAAUUCUUAGUCUCCCUGUGCUUAUUUUUGCAUUUUCAUUGUCGACGAUCUUUGGGAACGACCUUGUUAGUUUAGGUCUAUAUUUCCUUGCAAUCAUCAUCUGAAUUCUGUCACCUAGCUUUAGCCAAGCAUUGUUGCCGUCGCCUAGUCCCUGUGGAGAACACGGCACUCGCAGUUCGGGCGAAAUAUCCCACUGUACUUACAUUUGAUCAUUUUGGUGCCGUUGCCGGGGAGUAGCGUCGAACGAUUGUGUGAAGCUAUAGACUAGGCUUAGUAUAGUUUUUCUUUAAAUUUCCAUUCAAAUUUAUUUCUAUGCUUCUUUUACCUUUUUACUUUUGUUGCUUCGGCUUAUUAGGAUACUAACUUUCUGACUAGUGUUUACUGUUUAUGAGUGUGUGUUGGAAAUCUAAACUAAUUGCAGGUUGUUCUAUAGUUACACUCGGUUAAGAUGGCAUUGCUUCGUGAUCUUUGGAUGCCCAAAAGCCAGUGCUAUAUCACAGGACCGGUUUGGCCAACUAUUGAGGCAGAGAACUUCGACCUAAAACCUAGUAUUAUUGCUUUGGUUCAACAACAUCAGUUUGGAGGACUGCCUACUGAGGAUCCCUAUGAGCACCAACACCGAGUCAUGGAGUAUUCAGGUACAGUCAAGUACCAUGGAGUUCCUCAAGAUGCUAUCAAGUGCAUGUUGUACACAUUCUCUCUCCGAGAUGAUGCUCGUGCUUGGUAUCGAUCCUUGCCAUCAAGAUCAUUCAGUUGGAACAAGAUAUCACAAGAUUUCUUGGAUAAAUAUUUCCCACUACACAAGCAGUCCGCAAUUCGAGAUGAGAUCUUCAGCUUCGUUCAGCGUGAAGGCGAGAGUUUGUAUGAUGUUUGGGAGAGAUACAAGGCUUUAUUCAGGAGAUGUCCUAACCACGGGCUCGAGAGAUGGUUAGAGUUGUAGAUAUUCUAUAGAGGAUUGACUUCGGACACUCGAUCUUACGUCGAUAUGGCAGCGGGUGGAGAUAUUACAAACAAGACACUUGAUGAUGCUUUUUUGCUGAUUGAGAGCAUAGCUUUCCACCAACUUCAGUGGUAUAGUGAGAGACCCAGCUCAGAUUUGUUGGUUUGCUGUCACCACACUUCAACUCAGCAAGAAUGUCUUACACAAAAGCCAGAACCAGUUUCUCUGUGUGACAAGAUUGAGCUUUCAUGGAUUAUCUUUGAUGAUGAUGACACCAGCCUAGUUGACACACACACUGCAGAUCAUAUGGAUAUUAGCAUUCGAGAUUCAGUUUUGCAUUGUGAUGAUUCUUCCGUGGAUGAACCAGAGCUGCAGUUAGUUGCUUUUGAUAUUGAGAAGUCACCUUUAGUUCAUAUUGAUCAUUUGCUGGUAGAGCCAGAUAUGGAGAAGUUCUCCUUCGAUGAUGUCAGCUGCAUUGAUUCCUCAACACUUGAGCCUGAGAUGGAGAGCUUCAUGGUUGAUUAUGAUGAGGUGGAUUCAGAUGUCAAGGAGCCAAGCUCUACUAUUUCACUUGUUGACACGAGUCCGGUGGAAAUUUCGACAACCACACCUCACUUGAUAUCUUCAAUUGAGGUAGUCCUGAAGCUUCUUCCUAACUAUCUCAGGUAUGAUCUCAGCUUUCUCGACAAGAUAUGCCAUAUCAUGGAUACUGCCUAUGCACCGUGCGAUCUAUUGAUGAUAUCUAUUUAUCAUAUGCUCCAUAGAUAUGCUUAUGUGAUAGGAUACUCUAUUGAUGACUUAGAGGGCAUUGUCCCUAUCAUUUGUAUUGGCUUGUUUGUUGAGUGUUCUUUCAGGUUUACGCUUGUGCACCAUUCAUUGUGGGCUGACCAAGUUCGAGAUGACAUCCCAUGGGAUCCUGGUGGACCCAAAGCAUGGCGAUGAGGAGAAGCAAUGGGGCACACACGAAGAAGAGUGAAGCUGGAGCAUCCAUGAGGAAGCAAAGGAGAAUAGCUGCGGUUGGUGAGAUGAUCGAGCGAGUGCUACACCAUCAAAGCCCAGUGAGCUAUUUCAUGACCCAUUUCGAAUAUAUCAUCCAUUGAUACAUGCUGAAAUCAACUGCUAUUUUGGUUGCUUGAGUCAUUUCUUAAAUAUCGUCCCACUGAAUUUUACCUUCGACAUAGGGUGAUUGAUGUGAAUAUGUGAAUUGAGUGUUGAAUGCCUUGUAAACUAGUGACCUAUACAAUGCUUGCUUUGCUGAAAGUAGUGGAAGCUAUUAGUUUUGAGUGCUCAAAUCCCUAGUACACUAGAAAACUUAAUCAUUUUUUGCUUUUACCUUGAUACACCUAGAUCAUCAAGUGUUAGAUGCUGAAUUUGUGCCAAGUGUGUUCCCAUUUAGAGCAAUCACUUAACCACUAUGGAUUAGCAUGCUAUGUUCUCUGGAUCGGUAGCAUGUGAACCAGAAAUGGAUGAGUGAUGAUUCUUGUUUCCUUAUGUUUCAUGCCAUUGUAAUUCCUUUGUUCAAUAUGUAAUAAUAAAUAAGUCUGACUACCUAUAGUAGCAUGUCAUGUUCCCUGGAUCGGUGGCAUGUGAAAUCGGAUUAGCUUGGGCAGUAAUUAAUAAUAAACAUGUAAUUGUCGAACCAGGUGUAUACCAUUUUCUCGGGAUCGGUGGUAUGUUCCUUUGGGGAGACAAACAAAAACAAAAACUAAUAAUUGGUCGAGCCAGGUGUAUACCAUGUUCUCGGGAUCGGUGGUAUGUUCCUAUGGUGAGACUAAUAAUAAUAUAAUCAUUUCUUUAUCUCUGUAAAUAAGUGAUUUGAUCACAAGAUUUAAUUCCAGUUCUUUUUGUUCUAGGGAUCAUGCUCUCUUUAGGAAGGAUUUGGCACAGUCAUCAUUUAAACUUGUUGAUCUUCUUUUAUGAUUGUAGAAGUUUUAAAUGAUUGAGUCUACUAGUAUCCUACUACUUUGUAACACUCUUAACCAUUAAUUUUCACUAGCAAAGACCAAAAGCAUGCAUUGUUUGGAGAUCUAUUUUACCAGGACAAUCUUUACUCAGCUCACUGUUCACAUUCUUCCUCUUAUCACAUGCCUUUGCUUGAGGACAAGCAAAGAUUUAUGUGUGGGGGAACUUGAUAAGCACAUUUCAUAUACAUCUUUUGGCACUUAAAUAUGCGGUUUAUUGAGAUAUGACCAUCAAUUCUUGCUGUGAAAUAUUGAAUACUUGCAUGAAAAUCAUAUAAAGAAUCAUUUACAAGUCAUUUGUUUCUUUUGCAGAAAAGUGCGCAAAGGCACUAUAAACUUCCAAGAUCUGGACUAGGUGGCUAAGAGAAUUAGUCAAGUGAAAAGAAGAGAAGGAGGAAUGGACUUGUGUGUGAUGAUAAGAAGUAACCAGAGGGCUAGCCAAAGAAGGGAGGGACCAACUUGGGAAGAAAGAAGAGAAGUAGGAGGGCAAAAUUGCAAAGUGGCAGAUAAAUCGUGACGGAUCAAAAUCCCUAGCACAGCCACCGAUCCCCUUCGGGCCUGGCACUUCUCUCUCCCUCCCCUGCCUUCUUCUCCAUCUCAGGCCGCCACCACGGCCAGGCCGGCGUGGUUGGUGCGCCACCAGCACCCAGCGCCACCCAUCCACCAUCUUCGCCGCCGCGCCACCGCACCAGUAGCCUCCAUCACCCCUAUCCACCGCAACAUCCAUCCAUUUCAGCCGCCGCCGCGCCUAGAUCCUUCCCCCUGCUGCCCGCUUCUCUCUUCUUCUCUCCAAUCUUCUUCUCCUAACCCUUCUGCUCCUCCUUCCCUCGUCCUUGCUGCUGCACUCUCCCUCUCCUAGCGCUGCUGCUCCUCUCCCCUCGCCCCUACUGCUGCUACUCCACUUCCUCAAAUCUUGCUGCUGCCUCUCUGAAUCCUGCUUGCUGCCGCUCUCUACUGCUUCUACUCCAUCUCCUUGCACUCCUGCUUCUUCUUGUUUUCUGAAUCCCCAAACGCUGAUGCUACUCCCUCGCCCCGCGAACCUAUUGCUGCACCUUCCCCUUAACUCUCUCUGAACCCCCCUACUCCUCUUCACCUACAACUCUCCCUCAUUCUCUAAUUUCUGUAAUUUUGAGUAGGGUAAUGAUCAAUACUAUGUAAUGUUCAGUUUUGUUUAGUGUAGUAUCCUACUGUUUGGUUCAGUUUCGAAAUUGUAUUAUAUAAUGUUUGAUUUGUAUGUCCUCACUAGUUGAUACCUUGUCACUUUGAGAAGUACUUCAUCUGUCAUACUUUGCUUAGUGAAAUAAUAAUCUGCAUAUGUAUGUGUUGUCCUGUGAUGUAUAAAUAUGUGUGUGUUUGUGAUGGGAAAAAUCUAGCCUCUGUCAUAUUAUCUUGUUUCUUCUCUCUGUACUUGUUUUGUCAUGUGACUUUCCUUUCGUGUAAGUUUCUAUUGUCUCUAUUAGCAUGAAAAUACCAAAAAGACAGUAAGUAAAAUCUUAGUCUCCCUGUGCUUAUUUUUGCAUUUUCUUUGUCGACGAUCUUUGGGAACGACCUUGUUAGUUUAGGUCUAUAUUUCCUUGCAAUCAUCAUCUGAAUUCUGUCACCUAGCUUUAGCCAAGCAUUGUUGCCGUCGCCUAGUCCCUGUGGAGAACACGGCACUCGCAGUUCGGGCGAAAUAUCCCACUGUACUUACAUUUGAUCAUUUUGGUGCCGUUGCCGGGGAGUAGCGUCGAACGAUUGUGUGAAGCUAUAGACUAGGCUUAGUAUAGUUUUUCUUUAAAUUUCCAUUCAAAUUUAUUUCUAUGCUUCUUUUACCUUUUUACUUUUGUUGCUUCGGCUUAUUAGGAUACUAACUUUCUGACUAGUGUUUACUGUUUAUGAGUGUGUGUUGGAAAUCUAAACUAAUUGCAGGUUGUUCUAUAGUUACACUCGGUUAAGAUGGCAUUGCUUCAUGAUCUUUGGAUGCCCAAAAGUCAGUGCUAUAUCACAGGACCGGUUUGGCCAACUAUUGAGGCAGAGAACUUCGACCUAAAACCUAUUAUUAUUGCUUUGGUUCAACAACAUCAGUUUGGAGGACUGCCUACUGAGGAUCCCUAUGAGCACCUACACCGAGUCAUGGAGUAUUCAGGUACAGUCAAGUACCAUGGAGUUCCUCAAGAUGCUAUCAAGUGCAUGCUGUACACAUUCUCUCUCCGAGAUGAUGCUCGUGCUUGGUAUCGAUCCUUGCCAUCAAGAUCAUUCAGUUGGAACAAGAUAUCACAAGAUUUCUUGGAUAAAUAUUUCCCACUACAGAAGCAGUCCGCAAUUCGAGAUGAGAUCUUCAGUUUCGUUCAGCGUGAAGGCGAGAGCUUGUAGGAUGCUUGGGAGAGAUACAAGGCUUUAUUCAGGAGAUGUCCUAACCACGGGCUCGAGAGAUGGUUAGAGUUUUAGAUAUUCUAUAGAGGAUUGACUUCGUACACUCGAUCUUACGUUGAUAUGGCAGCGGGUGGAGCUAUUACAAACAAGACACUUGAUGAUGCUUUUUUGCUGAUUGAGAGCAUAGCUUUCCACCAACUUCAGUGGUAUAGUGAGAGACCCAUCUCAGAUUUGUUGGUUUGCUGUCACCACACUUCAACUCAGCAAGAAUGUCUUACACAAAAGCCAGAACCAGUUUCUCUGUGUGACAAGAUUGAGCUUUCAUGGAUUAUCUUUGAUGAUGAUGACACCAGCCUAGUUGACACACACACUGCAGAUCAUAUGGAUAUUAGCAUUCGAGAUUCAGUUUUGCAUUGUGAUGAUUCUUCCGUGGAUGAACCAGAGCUGCAGUUAGUUGCUUUUGAUAUUGAGAAGUCACCUUUAGUUCAUAUUGAUCAUGUGCUGGUAGAGCCAGAUAUGGAGAAGUUCUCCUUCGAUGAUGUCAGCUGCAUUGAUUCCUCAACACUUGAGCCUGAGAUGGAGAGCUUCAUGGUUGAUUAUGAUGAGGUGGAUUCAGAUGUCAAGGAGCCAAGCUCUACUAUUUUCACUUGUUGACACGAUUCCGAUGGAAAUUUCUACAACCACACCUCACUUGAUAUCUUCAAUUGAGGUAGUCCUGAAGCUUCUUCCUAACUAUCUCAGGUAUGAUCUCAGCUUUCUCGACAAGAUAUGCCAUAUCAUGGAUACUGCCUAUGCACCGUGCGAUUUAUUGAUGCUAUCUAUUUAUCAUAUGCUCCAUAGAUAUGCUUAUGUGAUAGGAUACUCUAUUGAUGACUUAGAGGGCAUUGUCCCUACCAUUUGUAUUGGCUUGUUUGUUGAGUGUUCUUUCAGGUUUACGCUUGUGCACCAUUCAUUGUGGGCUGACCAAGUUCGAGAUGACAUCCCAUGGGAUCCUGGUGGACCCAAAGCAUGGCGAUGAGGAGAAGCAAUGGGGCACACACGAAGAAGAGUGAAGCUGGAGAAUCCAUGAGGAAGCAAAGGAGAAGAGCUGCAGUUGGUGAGAUGAUCGAGCGAGUGCUACACCAUCAAAGCCCGGUGAGCUGUUUCAUGACCCAUUUCGAAUAUAUCAUCCAUUGAUACAUGCUGAAAUCAAUUGCUAUUUGGGUUGCUUGAGUCAUUUCUUAAAUAUCGUCCCACUGAAUUUUACCUUCGACAUAGGGUGAUUGAUGUGAAUAUGUGAAUUGAGUGUUGAAUGCCUUGUAAACUAGUGACCUAUACAAUGCUUGCUUUGCUGAAAGUAGUGGAAGCUAUUAGUUUUGAGUGCUCAAAUCCCUAGUACACUAGAAAACUUAAUCAUUUUUUGCUUUUACCUUGAUACACCUAGAUCAUCAAGUGUUAGAUGCUGAAUUUGUGCCAAGUGUGUUCCCAUUUAGAGCAAUCACUUAACCACUAUGGAUUAGCAUGCUAUGUUCUCUGGAUCGGUAGCAUGUGAACCAGAAAUGGAUGAGUGAUGAUUCUUGUUUCCUUAUGUUUCAUGCCAUUGUAAUUCCUUUGUUCAAUAUGUAAUAAUAAAUAAGUCUGACUACCUAUAGUAGCAUGUCAUGUUCCCUGGAUCGGUGGCAUGUGAAAUCGGGUUAGCUUGGGCAGUAAUUAAUAAUAAACAUGUAAUUGUCGAACCAGGUGUAUACCAUGUUCUCGGGAUCGGUGGUAUGUUCCUUUGGGGAGACAAACAAAAACAAAAACUAAUAAUUGGUCGAGCCAGGUGUAUACCAUGUUCUCCGGAUCGGUGGUAUGUUCCUAUGGUGAGACUAAUAAUAAUACAAUCAUUUCUUUAUCUCUGUAAAUAAGUGAUUUGAUCACAAGAUUUAAUUCCAGUUCUUUUUGUUCUCGGGAUCAUGCUCUCUUUAGGAACCAUUUGGCACAGUCAUCAUUUAAACUUGUUGAUCUUCUUUUAUGAUUGUAGAAGUUUUAAAUGAUUGAGUCUACUAGUAUCCUACUACUUUGUAACACUCUUAACCAUUCAUUUUCACUAGCAAAGACCAAAAGCAUGCAUUUUUUGGAGAUCUAUUUUACCAGGACAUUCUUUACUCAGCUCACUGUUCACAUUCUUGCUCUUGUCACAUGCCUUUGCUUGAGGACAAGCAAAGAUUUAAGUGUGGGGGAACUUGAUAAGCACAUUUCAUAUACAUCUUUUGGCACUUAAAUAUGUGGCUUAUUGAGAUAUGACCAUCAAUUCUUGCUGUGAAAUAUUGAAUACUUGUAUGAAAAUCAUAUAAAGAAUCAUUUACAAGUCAUUUGUUUCUUUUGCAGAAAGGUGCGCAAAGGCACUAUAAACUUCCAAGAUCUGGACUAGGUGGCUAAGAGAAUUAGUCAAGUGAAAAGAAGAGAAGGAAGAAAGGACUUGUGUGUGAUGAUAAGAGCUAACAAGAGGGGCUAGCCAAAGAAGAGAGGGACCAACUUGGGAAGAAAGAAGAGAAGUAGGAGGGCAAAAUUGCAAAGUGGCAAAUCAGAUCGUGAGGGAUGAAAAUCCCUAGCACAACCACCGAUCCCCUUCAGGCCUGGCACUUCUCUCUCCCUCCCCUGCCUUCUUCUCCAUCUCAGGCCGCCGCCACGGCCAGGCCGGCGUGGUAGGUGCGUCACCAGCACCCAGCGCCACCCACCCACCAUCUUCGCCGCCGCGCCACCGCACCAGCAGCCUCCAUCACCCCCAUCCACCGCAACAUCCAUCCAUUUCAGCUGCCGCCGCGCCUAGAUCCUUCCCCCUGCUGCCCGCUUCUCUCUUCUUCUCUCCAAUCUUCUUCUCUUAACCCUUCUGCUCCUCCUUCCCUCGUCCUUGCUGCUGCUCUCUCCCUCUCAUAGCGCUGCUGCUCCUCUCCCCUCGCCCCUACUGCUGCUACUCCACUUCCUCAUCAAAUCUUGCUGCUGCUUCUCUGAAUCCUUCUUGCUGCCGCUCUCUACUGCUUCUACUCCAUCUCCUUGCACUCCUGCUUCUUCUUGUUUUCUGAAUCCCCAGACGCUGAUGCUACUCUCUCGCCCCGCGAACCUAUUACUGCACCUUCUCCUUAACUCUCUCUGAACCCCCUACUCCUCUUCACCUACAACUCUCUCUCAUUCUCUAAUUUCUGUAAUUUUGAGUAGUGUAAUGAUCAAUACUAUGUAAUGUUCAAUUUUGUUAAGUGUAGUAUCCUACUGUUUGGUUCAGUUUCGGAGUUAUAUUAUAUAAUGUUUGAUUUGUAUGUCCUCACUAGUUGAUACCUUGUCACUUUGAGAAGUACUUCAUCUGUCAUACUUUGCUUAGUGAAAUAAUAAUCUGCAUAUGUAUGUGUUGUCCUGUGAUGUAUAAAUAUGUGUGUGUUUGUGAUGGGCAAAAUCUAGCCUCUGUCAUAUUAUCUUGUUUCUUCUCUCUGUACUUGUUUUGUCAUGUGACUUUCCUUUCGUGUAAGUUUCUAUUGUCUCUAUUAGUAUGAAAAUACCAAAAAGACAGUAAGUAAAAUCUUAGUCUCCCUGUGCUUAUUUUUGCAUUUUCUUUGUCGACGAUCUUUGGGAACGACCUUGUUAGUUUAGGUCUAUAUUUCCUUGCAAUCAUCAUCUGAAUUCUAUCACCUAGCUUUAGCCGAGCAGUGUUGCCAUCGCCUAGUCCCUGUGGAGAACACGACACUCGCAGUUCGGGCGAAAUAUC
rnacentral:lncRNA from 1 species